AAGGGAAGGAAGGAUUCCUUAUGUGGUUGCCCUUCUUCAUCUUUAUUUACGAACUUUCUCCAGGAUCCCUUUCAGGUUGGGAGAAACUUGAGCCUGUUUAAAUGCUGAAGGAAAGGCUUAAUAGAGAAGAGCUGAUACUCAGAAGAGGAAAGAGGGAUGCAGUCUAGGACUGGGAUGGUGAUUCACCAUCUUGCUGUCCUACCAGCACAGCUCCACAUGGCCCAAGAUGACUGCUUGAGCUCCAGUCAUUUAGUCUGAGUUCAUCCAGCAGGAAGGAAAGAGAAAGGACAACCCUGUGGGUCAGGGUUUGCCAUCAGUCCAAGUCGUGCUGCUGCCAGAGGAACAAAGAUGUCACAACUGCUGACCUUGAUGACUGUUUAAACAGCCAGAGCAAGCUGCAGGUGCCCAGGUGGGCAGGCCAUCUGGCGGGACAGGGGCCCCGAUGCACUGUGAAACACACACGUGGCCCGGGACAUCAGGUGACUCCGUGCCACCCCACCGUGGCCUUUCCAAACCCCCAGCAGCAGAAGAACAAACAGCCGUGCAGAACAAACAGCCGUGCAGAACAAACAGCCGUGCAGCUCGUUGGCCACCUUCUGGGAACUGAGAAGGGCUGUGCGUGGGGGUUGGAUCCGCCCUUUGUCACCAGGUCUGCAGCAAGGCUUUCUGUGGCUCCAGCCAGCUCCCCGUGGGGCCAGCAGCUGCCGUCAGUCCUCUGUUCAGCCUCACACACAGCCCCGCAGCGAGUCUGGUUUGCAGGGAACAGCCUGGAAAGGUGCUGUUAAAGACGCUGAAGAAUAUUUGGAAGAGAGAAUAGCAUAUCCGCCCACAUCCCACCACCCUCAUCCCUCACCUCCCUUUCUGCCUUCUCCAUUCUGGCCGGGAACCCAGGCAGAUAUUUUGGCCUGGUUGCCAAAAGAGAAUGCAGACACCACCUUGGACUGGGCUCUCUGCCUUUCUGGGCUUUUCUUGGUCACAAGCAUUUUGCCAUGGGGCUGUGUGGUCUUCAUACUGACCAUCUGAAAGGAGGCAUCAGAGUCCUUUGGGAACCCCCUCAUUUUCAAAUGUUAGCUGAUAAGCGUGUUUCCAGUUGGGGGCUAUUAUAAACAGCUUGGCAGCAGUCAUUCGUAUGAUUAAAAACUAUUCAUCAAAUUUCUUAGAGAAGCACAGUGAAAUACAUGGCGGGGUGGGGGGGAGA